GGCUUAAUACAUGCAAGUCGAGGGGUAACAGAGAGUGCUUGCACUCUGCUGACGACCGGCGCACGGGUGCGUAACGCGUAUGCAACCUACCUUUUACAGAGGGAUACCCAAGAGAAAUUUUGAAUAAUACCUCAUAAGCUCUAAUAAUAGCAUUUUUUUUAGAGGAAAACUCCGGUGGUAAAAGAUGGGCAUGCGUCCUAUUAGUUUGUUGGUAAGGUAACGGCUUACCAAGACUACGAUAGGUAGGGGUCCUGAGAGGGAGAUCCCCCACACUGGUACUGAGACACGGACCAGACUCCUACGGGAGGCAGCAGUAAGGAAUAUUGGACAAUGGAGGAAACUCUGAUCCAGCCAUGCAGCGUGCAGGAAGACGGCCCUAUGGGUUGUAAACUGCUUUUAUACAGGAAGAAAUCUUUUCACGUGUGAAAA
rnacentral:rRNA from 1 species